AAAUAGAAUUUAUAUAUCAUUUAAUUUGAGUCUUCACGAAAGAAGCAAAGUUGAGUUGACCACAAACGUCAGUUUGGAACAUUUUAUAUGCGAGACGUCAGGAGUCUCUUCAUCAUUUAUUUAUUUAGCUGUGACUUACAGUUGCUACAUGUGUCGCACGCGUCUUGCGCACCGCACACCUCAAACCCGGGUCUCCUACAGCACAGGCAUGUGUCAUAUCCACUGCACCACCUGUUAACAUAAAGAUAUCGAUCACAUCAGCUUUGAGGGAAAGAGCCGAUGAAAGUUUUCAGAGUGUGGUGAAGCGAGGCGAGGGCUGCAGGAAGUGGUCGGUCAGCCGUCACGCCGCCGAGGAGCUGCAGCUUCACACCAGCCACUCCUCCCGCUGCAGACGUCAUGAAGCCUUCUUCAUCUUCAUCGUCCUCUUCCUCGGUGACAGCUGCACCAGAAACUCCGCGUCCCUCUUUUUCAUCUCGCCCUCCUCGUCAAAGUCUGCAAAGUCCAGAGUUGCAAGCAGAGUUUCUGCAAGAGUUUCGGAACAAAUCCCGGUUUCACAGAGACGUCGGUGAAUCCAGUGCCGUCUCCUCUCCCCCCUCCUCUCCUCUGCCCUCCCCCCCUCAGUUCCACCCCGCUCUCCUCCCCCUGCAGCUCCUCAGCCUCCUCCUCCUCCUCCCCUCCAGGCUACGACAAGAGACAAGCUCGUUUGUCGCUGUCCAGCCCUGAGCUCCUGUCAGAGCUGAAACACUCGAGGACACGCUCCCUGCGACAUGUCCCCGAACACAACGGCCUGACCACCGUCUUCUCUGGACGGGGAAGAGGAGGAGGAGGAGGAGGAGGAGGAGGAAGAAGAGGAAGAGGACGACAGGCCUCCGGCCCCACCCCGACCGCACGACCAGCCAAUCAGAUGACUUCGCACUGAUCAUCAGCAGCACCCGACCCUGUACCAGACUACUGGACCUGAAUCCAUCAUGGACUUGGCUAUCCUAUAACCAAUCAUGCAUUAUUUACCAUCAAAUGAAUAUUUGAACAAUAAGUCCUUGAUUUCAGAGAGAAGUAAAUAAAAAGAACUUUUGCUCCCAUAUGUUUGUUUUUGAAAGACUAAAACAAGACCCGAGCCUCCAAACUCAGAGGAGGGUUUAGCGGACAGUUAAUUAUCUCAUGUUAACACCUCACGACAAAGUAUCUUAGGGAUGGCGCCCGAUUCUGACUCAAAUAGCUGAAUCGGUUAUUGGUGAUAACGAGCUGAUCUAUGGGUCGAUCCAUUCACUUCCAUUAUGCACGUACUACGCAUGCGUCGGUAGACUGGAACAUUUUGCUAAAAUAGCAUUUUCAGGAAAAUGUUUAUAACGUAUAACUUCUGAAGAAGCUAGCUCGGUAUGGAUAUCGUGGCAGAGGCAGUGAAGUAACAGGAGAAGACGAAGUUGGAGGAAGCGAAGAAGAGAUAAAGAGAGAGUGACGGAGCGAAAGACCGGACAGAGUGAAUAUCAGACUGGCUUUUACUGGUUGAGCUUAAAGAGCUGUUAGGAUGCAGGACAGACGCCGAGCUGGCCUUCUUUCUGUUGUCAGUAAUAACUUGUUAGCUGCUCGCUGUGUCCAGAAGUGUUGUGCUUGCUUGAUGUUUGGCUGUUGGCAAAGUAAAUCAGCCGGAGGUUACACAGACAGAGGUUUAGCCUCUAGCUACAAAUCUUUAGUUGAUGUAACCCACUAGAUAACACACUCGGACGUCUGUAACGUUACUGUAAGUGCUCCUGCGUCCUGCUGUUUCUCGGCUAGCUCGCCACUCAAGUUUCAAGCAGCAGCAACAUUAUUCUGCUGCUGGUGGAGAGCAGCGCCGGGGUAGAACAAGAGCUGGGCAAGCGGGCAACGUAACUUUGGGAGAGGUGGAAAGACCGAAAAAAGGAUGUUGACGGAGGUAGCUAAGAAGAUAAAAAGAGAGUGGCGAGAGUUUCCCGCGAGACAAACGUAGAGCUGGCAGUCUUUCUGUGUACACAGUCUGACUUUUCACUAAUAUUGCUGUGUCUUGUGUUUUCGCACUUGCUCGAUGUUUGGCUGUGUUAGCAGUAACGUAAUCAUAACCAAUGCACCUGUGCGCAUAUUCAUGACAGCGGUGAAUCUUACUGUGUGGUGUCCAAAAUCACUACUCACUAUAUAUACUGGACUAUUCAUAGAGAGCUCGCCAUUUUAUAGGGCUGUCCGAAUAUAUAGUGAGAAUGAUCAUACCCUAUACAGUCCACUCAAAGCAUCCCAGAAUGCAUUUUGAAAAGUAAUGUAAAACCAUCAUGCAUUGCUCUGAUAGAAAAAACAGUCCACCAACUGAUUGUCCGACGGGAAUGACGUAAUUAACAGUGCUGAAAUACUGACGGGAGUAGUGCCUAAAAGUGUUGUUUGCAUUAUGCGGGUUGUUGAGAAUUAUUUUAGAGCAUUACAGCCUAAAUUGUUAUAAUAUUCACUAGAGUGAAGGUGUUCUGCAUUGUCAUCAUUUAAAGUAUUAUUUUAUAGUGUAAAGUUAAGAUCACAGUGUUAAGACUCUAUAGCUCUGAGUGUGUGUGUGUGACAGCAAGGCAUCAUCGAAAACACCAGCAAAGGAAAAUGUAGAAGCAGAAUUAGUGAAAAUUGUGUUACAAAAUGUACAUAAAUACAGUAAGAAUGUCCUGUCUAUAGCGAACAGUACAAGAGACACCAGCUUAUUCCACAAAGUCAGGGUUUUGAGUCAUCAGUGAUUAUCUCUAAUCAGUAUUAAUAUCAUUCUUAAUAAUCAUUCUUAAUCAUUUUUAUUAGUAUUCAUCAUUAAUCAUUACUGAUUAUAAGUAUAAUCAUAUCAGUAUAAGUAAUAUAUAAUAAUAUAAGUACUGAGCUUUGUUCUGCUGUUAUCUACUGUUGUUAUGACUACAUGAGGAACUGUUGAUGUGUUAGUCUGCUGAUAUUAAGACUACGUGCUUAAUUACUGAUUAAGAGGUCGAUUGUCAACUUCCAACCUCUGGUUGUUAUAGACUGCGUGAACUUUGAAUGAACUUGCUGAAGGAAUUUUUGCUUGGCAGAAAAGCGACACAGGGUUGCUGAAAUCACGUCAGAUAUAAAGAUAUAGAAAGUCAACAAUACAGUAAUAAAUGACAGCUGGGGAACAGUGUUAAUUGGUAAAAACAAAGAAGUUCAUCAUAAGGAAGGAGCAAACCAGCCCAGAGGGGAUAUAUUAGACUGUCUGCAGACCGGAGGAUUGACUCCAUCCUCUGACCUGCUGGGAUGUUGUACGGGUUUAUCUGUCCUGUUUUGGAAUAAACUCUUUUGCGCCGACU